AUGUCCGAAACUGAGGCUAUAAAGAAAGGGAAAGGAAUGGGGAAAGGGUGAACCCCUAGGCCAAGCUUGGUGGUCACUAUAGAGAAUAAAAGAUAGAAGGACCCCCCCCCCCCACUAAGGUCAGUCAAAAUCCUAUUUCAUUUCCAAGGCCCAACAGAACUGUUGAGUGCCCAGGAGACCUCCCCCUUGAAACUGACAUGGAAUCUACCUAAACAGGAGAGUGGGAGGCUGUUUUUUUCCAGAAGAGAGUGUAUGCCAGGCCUGGCACCCUCCUAAGAGGUCAUCCUGACCCAAUGAGAACAGCAGUGUUGCUGGGGGAUAGCCAGCCUGUAAGGUCUCUCUUCCAGAAGCAGCAUCUGGCAGGUUGCCAUGGGUUCAGGAGUCGUAGCUGACAUGGAGUGGUUGCCUUGGGGACGUUGGAAGAGGCAGCCCUUCUGGCCAGCCUAGGGGGGUGCUCUGUCUCCACCAGCUUCCACCAGCUCAAUGGCAAGGAUAAUGGGGUGAGGGGAGCCCUGUCUGAUCCAGCAACUUGGGUUUGAGUCACUGGAGCCUGCAUGGAGGACUCAGGUAAACGGAGAGUCACAGCAUCAUGAGCUUGGGUAUGAGUGGGGAGGUCCGUGGCCAGCUAUAUCCUUGAGACAAGAAGGACAGCCACCAACUCCUGCCUCUGGUGAUCUCUUCGGUCGUGUAUCCUGUGGUUGAUAAAGUCCACGGUCGUUUUCCCGGGUCAUCAUUUGUCAUUUCCACCUGUGGUAAGUCACAAUCUGUUUUUCUACAAUUGGUCAAGACUCAAAGCCCUCUCCCGACACACCCUACUGGCCCCUGACCCCACACUCUUUGCAGGAUCACCCUUGCCACCCUUGCCCAUCCCUCCUCAACUGGCCGAGGUGACUCUCCUGGCCUCCAGCUAGCUUCCCAGCAGCUACUUUGGACAAGUGCAAACCGAGGAUGAUGGGGACAGGGGCAUUGGGGUUCCUUUCCGUCUAGCAUGCCAAUAAGCUGUCUGAUCAGUUUGGAUGUGGUCAUACCCAGCCUAUAGUGGGGCAGGAGAAAGAUGCACUCGGAAACACAGAGGGGAAAGUCCAUCUCAGGUCAAAGCCAAGGAAAGCGAAAGCUAGGAAUGCAGUUGCAGUUGGGGAUAAAGCUGGGGGACGGAGAGCAAUGUGUUCAGUACAGAGGCCCGCAUGGCCCCGUACUCUGUGCGAGAGCAGUUCACCACUUACCACCUGACACAGUGUGGUCUUCCUCUUAGCAGACAGACUCAUGCUCAUGACAGCAUCCGGGAUUUCUUCAGGCCAAGCUAUUGUGGGGGGAGGGAGCCACACAGCUGGGGGACAAUCUGACAGGUGCAGCAUGGAGGACGCUGUCCCCAAAGCCACAGGUUCACAUCUGCCGGCAAAACGCAGCCUCCCCUGGACACAAGCAGACAUGCCUGCGUUCCCGCCUCUCUCUGGCACCGCCCUGACCACCCCCUUCUAUGUACUGACAAGUCCAAACCUCGACUCCACGUCAAUGUACUUCCUCAAGUACUGGAUGCCAAGUCCACAGCUGUCCCCCACGCUGACUGCACUUUGGGUGGGAUGUGCCUGCUAACAUUUACGGGGGCUCUCAGUGCACCGGUCAUGUGUGGCUUCACUCAGAGAAGUCUCCCUUCCUCCUCUCCUCUCUGGUUGCAGCCACAACAAGCCUUAGAGAACGCAUGGUGCCUCUUGUCCCUCUCCCUACAUUCCAUGCCUGUGACGCCACUUGGCUGUUGUUGAUGCAUGACCAGGGCCAUCUA